rnacentral:rRNA from 1 species
UACGUAGGGUGCAAGCGUUAAUCGGAACUACUGGGCGUAAAGAGCUCGUAGGCGGUUUGUCGCGUCUGCCGUGAAAGUCCGGGGCUUAACCCCGGAUCUGCGGUGGGUACGGGCAGACUAGAGUGCAGUAGGGGAGACUGGAAUUCCUGGUGUAGCGGUGAAAUGCGCAGAUAUCAGGAGGAACACCGAUGGCGAAGGCAGGUCUCUGGGCUGUAACUGACGCUGAGGAGCGAAAGCAUGGGGAGCGAACAGG